UACGGAGGAUGCGAGCGUUAUCCGGAUUUAUUGGGUUUAAAGGGUGCGUAGGCGGACGCUUAAGUCAGCGGUAAAAUUGCGGGGCUCAACCUCGUCGAGCCGUUGAAACUGGGUGCCUUGAGUGGGCGAGAAGUACGCGGAAUGCGUGGUGUAGCGGUGAAAUGCAUAGAUAUCACGCAGAACUCCGAUUGCGAAGGCAGCGUACCGGCGCCCAACUGACGCUGAAGCACGAAGGCGUGGGGAGCAAACAGG
rnacentral:rRNA from 1 species